rnacentral:rRNA from 1 species
UUAAAUUUGUAAGGGCGUAUGGUGGAUGCCUUGGCAUUAGAAGCUGAUGAAGGACGUGACUAACUACGAUAUGCUUCGGGGAGAUGUACGUAAUCUUUGAUCCGGAGAUUUCCGAAUGGGGGAACCCACUAGUGGUAAUGCACUAGUAUCACAUAAUGAAUAUAUAGUUAUGUAGAAAGCAACCCAGUGAACUGAAACAUCUUAGUAACUGGAGGAACAGAAAGAAAAAUCGAUUUCCUUAGUAGUGGCGAGCGAAACGGAAAGAGCCCAAACCGACUUUAGAGUCGGGGUUGUAGGACCUCUCUAUAAGAGUUACAAAUUCAUAACAUAGUUGAACUUUUCUGGAAAGUUAGACGAAACAAGGUGACAGUCCUGUAAACGAAAUGUUAUGAACUCUUUGAGGUAUCCUGAGUACAACGAGACACGAGAAAUCUUGUUGGAAUCUGCGGGGACCAUCCCGUAAGGCUAAAUACUCUCUAAUGACCGAUAGUGAACAAGUACCGUGAGGGAAAGGUGAAAAGAACCCCGGGAGGGGAGUGAAAUAGAAACUGAAACCGUAUGCUUACAAAAAGUUCGAGCACAUUAAUGUGUGAGAGCGUGCCUUUUGCAGAAUGAACCGGCGAGUUAUUGUAUUAUGCAAGGUUAAGUCGAACAGAUGGAGCCGAAGCGAAAGCGAGUCUGAAUAGGGCGCUUAAGUAUGAUGCAAUAGACCCGAAACCGAGUGAUCUAGCCAUGAGCAGGUUGAAGUUGGGGUAAGACCCAAUGGAGGACCGAACCGAUAUGCCCGGAAACGCGUACGGAUGACUUGUGGUUAGCGGAGAAAUUCCAAACGAACUCGGAGAUAGCUGGUUCUCCCCGAAAUAGGUUUAGGCCUAGCCUUGAUUGAAUCUGCCUGGAGGUAGAGCACUGAAUGUGCGAUGGCGUCGUCUAGAUGUACUGAGUACAAUCAAACUCCGAAUGCUGGGUAGUACUAAUCAGGAGUCACUGUAUGGGUGAUAACGUCCAUACGGGAGAGGAAAAGAAUCCGGAUCGCCAGCUAAGGUCCCAAAAUUUGUGUUAAGUGGGAAAGGAUGUAGAGUUGUCAAAACAGCUAGGAGGUUGGCUUAGAAGCAGCCACCCUUUAAAGAGUGCGUAAUAGCUCACUAGUCGAGUGACACUGCGCCGAAGAUGUACCGGGGCUAAACACAAUACCGAAGCUGCGGACUUGCAUGUAAGUGCAAGUGGUAGGGGAGCGUUCUAAGUGCUGAGAAGGUAGACCGUAAGGACUGCUGGAGCGCUUAGAAGUGAGAAUGCCGGUGUGAGUAACGAAAAUUGGGUGAGAAUCCCAUUCACCGUUUGACUAAGGGUUCCUGGGUAAAGUUCGUCUUCCCAGGGUAAGUCAGGACCUAAGAUGAGGCUGAAAAGCGUAGUCGAUGGACAACAGGUUGAUAUUCCUGUACCACCUAUAUGACUGAAGGAGUGACGGAGAAAGCUAGUGAGAGCCAGUUAAUGGAUUCUGGUCUAAGUGCGUAGGCUAGUAUGUUGGCAAAUCCGCAAUACUAUAACAGCUGAAACAUGAUGGGGAAGAGAGUCUUCGGACAAUCGAACUUUCAUGAUGCUAUGCUUCCAAGAAAAGCUUCUAGGGUUAAUCGUAUAGGUGCCUGUACCGACAACCGACACAGGUGGUCAAGGAGAGUAUCCUAAGGUGAGCGAGAGAACUAUGGUUAAGGAACUCGGCAAAAUGACCCCGUAACUUCGGGAGAAGGGGUGGUCUAGCGAUAGACCCGCAGUGAAUAGGCCCAGGCAACUGUUUACCAAAAACACAGGUCUCUGCUAACACGUAAGUGGAUGUAUAGGGGCUGACGCCUGCCCAGUGCUGGAAGGUUAAAGAGAUUAGUUAGUAUGACGUAAGUCGAUAAUACGAAGCUUUGAACUGAAGCCCCAGUGAACGGCGGCCGUAACUAUAACGGUCCUAAGGUAGCGAAAUUCCUUGUCAGGUAAG